UUCUUGGUCAUUUAGAGGAAGUAAAAGUCGUAACAAGGUUUCCGUAGGUGAACCUGCGGAAGGAUCAUUAAAGAAAUUUAAUAAUUUUGAAAAUGGAUUUUUUUGUUUUGGCAAGAGCAUGAGAGCUUUUACUGGGCAAGAAGACAAGAGAUGGAGAGUCCAGCCGGGCCUGCGCUUAAGUGCGCGGUCUUGCUAGGCUUGUAAGUUUCUUUCUUGCUAUUCCAAACGGUGAGAGAUUUCUGUGCUUUUGUUAUAGGACAAUUAAAACCGUUUCAAUACAACACACUGUGGAGUUUUCAUAUCUUUGCAACUUUUUCUUUGGGCAUUCGAGCAAUCGGGGCCCAGAGGUAACAAACACAAACAAUUUUAUCUAUUCAUUAAAUUUUUGUCAAAAACAAGAAUUUUCGUAACUGGAAAUUUUAAAAUAUUAAAAACUUUCAACAACGGAUCUCUUGGUUCUCGCAUCGAUGAAGAACGCAGCGAAAUGCGAUACGUAAUGUGAAUUGCAGAAUUCCGUGAAUCAUCGAAUCUUUGAACGCACAUUGCGCCCCUUGGUAUUCCAGGGGGCAUACCUGUUUGAGCGUCAUUUCCUUCUCAAACAUUCUGUUUGGUAGUGAGCGAUACUCUUUGGAGUUAACUUGAAAUUGCUGGCCUUUUCAUUGGAUGUUUCUUUUCCAAAGAGAGGUUUCUCUGCGUGCUUGAGGUAUAAUGCAAGUACGGUCGUUUUAGGUUUUACCAACUGCGGCUAAUCUUUUUUUAUACUGAGCGUAUUGGAACGUUAUCGAUAAGAAGAGAGCGUCUAGGCGAACAAUGUUCUUAAAGUUUGACCUCAAAUCAGGUAGGAGUACCCGCUGAACUUAAGCAUAUCAAUAAGCGGAGGAA
rnacentral:rRNA from 1 species